GCUUGGAUGGCUCAGUUGGUUAGAGCGCAGGUCUCAUAAUCCUGAGGUCGUGAGUUCGAUCCUCACUCCGAGCA